ACGUACUAACUUGCGAUAAGCGCAGAUAAGGCAGUAAGAGCCGUUUGAGUCUGCGAUUUCCGAAUGGGGAAACCCAACUGCAUAAGCAGUUACUGUUAACUGAAUACAUAGGUUAACAGAGCAAACCGGGGGAACUGAAACAUCUAAGUACCCCGAGGAGAAGAAAUCAACCGAGAUUCCGGUAGUAGCGGCGAGCGAACCUGGAUUAGCCCUUAAGCACUCGGUGAAGUAGGUGAACAAGCUGGAAAGCUUGGCGAUACAGGGUGAUAGCCCCGUAACCGACGCUUCAUCGAGCGUGAAAUCGAGUAGGGCGGGACACGUGAUAUCCUGUCUGAAUAUGGGGGGACCAUCCUCCAAGGCUAAAUACUCCUGACUGACCGAUAGUGAACCAGUACCGUGAGGGAAAGGCGAAAAGAACCCCUGUGAGGGGAGUGAAAUAGAACCUGAAACCGUGUACGUACAAGCAGUAGGAGCACCUUCGUGGUGUGACUGCGUACCUUUUGUAUAAUGGGUCAGCGACUUAUAUUCAGUGGCAAGGUUAACCGUAUAGGGGAGCCGUAGCG
rnacentral:rRNA from 1 species